GAUGAACGCUGGCGGCGUGCCUAAUACAUGCAAGUCGAGCGAACGGACGAGAAGCUUGCUUCUCUGAUGUUAGCGGCGGACGGGUGAGUAACACGUGGAUAACCUACCUAUAAGACUGGGAUAACUUCGGGAAACCGGAGCUAAUACCGGAUAAUAUUUUGAACCGCAUGGUUCAAAAGUAAAAGACGGUCUUGCUGUCGCUUAUAGAUGGAUCCGCGCUGCAUUAGCUAGUUGGUAAGGUAACGGCUUACCAAGGCAACGAUGCAUAGCCGACCUGAGAGGGUGAUCGGCCACACUGGAACUGAGACACGGUCCAGACUCCUACGGGAGGCAGCAGUAGGGAAUCUUCCGCAAUGGGCGAAAGCCUGACGGAGCAACGCCGCGUGAGUGAUGAAGGUCUUCGGAUCGUAAAACUCUGUUAUUAGGGAAGAACAUAUGUGUAAGUAACUGUGCACAUCUUGACGGUACCUAAUCAGAAAGCCACGGCUAACUACGUG
rnacentral:rRNA from 1 species